AGAUCUCCAGCUCGGGCAGUGGAACCCGGUACCAGGACGGUGAUCUCGCGGCAGAGACAGCAGCCUCCAGUAGCUCCGGCCUUCUGGGCCGACCGCUCGUACCACCGUGGCAUGGGUCGCCCGGGACGCGCUACCCUGCAGGGGGCGGAAGUUGGGAAGAGGAGUUCCCGUUCCUAAGGCGCUGGCAUCGCUCCUCCUGCUGCUUCCCUGUUCUGACCCAUUCCCGGCGACGGAGGAUGAAGGUGGCGAAAGAUGUUUGGACAGCCGUCGCUCUCCUCCAUGCUUUUCUCCUGCUGCUGGUUAGCUUGGAUGGUGAUGGUGUCACCUGGGGUCCUGGAAUCUCUGGGCCCGCAUCCUCAUUACCCGAGAAUUCGUUAGAACGACACAUUCACGACCACACCUAAACCUACAGAAUCAGAAACGCCACUAGUGGGGUCGGUCCUGAAACCUGGUUAACAAGCUCCCAAGUCCACUAAACCAUGAAGAACCUUAACAGGAGGCUGGAGAGGUAGCUCAGCAGUUACGAGUACUUGCUGGUCUUGAAGAGAACCCUAGUUCAAUUCCCAGCACCCCACUUUGCCAUUGACAACCAUCUGAAACUCUACUUCUUUGGAAUCUGAUGCCUUCUCUGGCUGCAGAGAACACCAGGCAUGCAAGAGUUACACUAUAUAUGCAGGCAGGCAUAGCAUCAUAUAUGAAGUAAUAAAUGACUUUAAGAAACAA
rnacentral:lncRNA from 1 species